rnacentral:tRNA from 2 species
GGGCCGUUAGCUCAGCUGGUAGAGCGCUUCCAUGGCAUGGAAGAGGUCAACGGUUCGAUCCCGUUACGGUCCACCA